CCAAGAGAAUAAUCCAUCAGUCAUAGGGAAUUUGCAGAGCCCCUCUUCAAUGGAUUUUACGGCGAAUGUCACUUCCAUUAACUCCACUCCAACUAACAACAACACCAUUUUAUCCAACUUAGCAUAAUACACAUAAGAUACUUGCUCUCCUCACAAUCUGAGUAUCUCAUCGAAUCACCAAAAUGAAUCAAAUGAACAAUGCCAUACCAUCACUCCCUCUUCCUGGU
rnacentral:lncRNA from 1 species